AUUUGACCUCAAAUCAGGUAGGAACACCCGCUGAACUUAAGCAUAUCAAUAAGCGGAGGAAAAGAAAAUAACAAUGAUUCCCCUAGUAACUGCGAGUGAAGAGGGACAAGCUCAAAUUUUAAAUCUAUCGGGUUUUACCCGAUCGAGUUGUAAUUUGAAGAAGCGUUUUUCUGCGUUUUUGGUCAGCCCAAGUCCUAUUGAAUGAGGCAUCAUGGAGGGUGAUAAUCCCGUCCGGUUGAUCAUUUGCGUUUUACGAUACGCUCUCUAAGAGUCAAGUUGUUUGGGAUUGCAGCUUAAAAUGGGAGGUAAAUUUCUCCUAAGGCUAAAUAACGGCGAGAGACCGAUAGCGAACAAGUACCGUGAGGGAAAGAUGAAAAGAACUUUGAAAAGAGAGUUAAACAGUACGUGAAAUUGUUGAAAGGGAAACGAUUGAAGCCAGUCGUACCUUCGGGUAAUCAGCCUUUCGGGUGCGAUUCUGUGGAGUGUGAGGAGCUUAACACCUUCAUGCUUUGCAUAUUUGUGCUCUUGGGUGUACUUGCCCGUGUGGUUGGUUAACAUCAAUUUUGAUUAUCAUAAAAUGACUGGAGGAAUGUAGCUUCGAUCUCGUAUUGAAGUGUUAUAGCCUUCGGUAGAUGUGAUGAUCGAGAUUGAGGAUUGCAACGGAUACCCUUCGGGGCUACCUGUCUGGUCUCUGAUCGUUGCUCUGGUGCCGAAAGCGUGCUUACGGUUAUCAAAGUCGAUGAUCAAUAGGUUAGAACGGGUUAAAUUCGUUAAGGAUGUUGACGUAAUGGCUUUAAACGACCCGUCUUGAAACACGGACCAAGGAGUCUAACAUAUAUGCGAGUGUUA
rnacentral:rRNA from 1 species